ACUACCUGGUGACUAUUACAUUUUCAAAUUUGAGGAAAAUCAGUGCUUUGAUAACAAAUACAGACCACUCUUGCAACUCGUCAUGGAAAUUGCGAUCUAACUUCCAUAUGAUUUUGUAAUAUAACAGAGGCUGGGAAUUAAUAGACUUGGUGGCCCUCCCCACCAGCAGGAAAGUCAACGGUUGAGUCUGCAUCUAUUGGCCUGAAGCUCCAACUCUAUCUUCUGUAGCAAUUACUUGCCUGAAUUUGUUGCUACUGCUCCACUGAGAUGGGUUAUCCAGCCUUCAAAAGCUGCUGCCCAAUUAGAGGACUGGUACCUCUUCAAUCUUGCAGUGGCAAUGGGAGUUGUGGCUGCUGCUGUAUCCUCAAAAAACAAACCUGGCCCAGUACUUCCUCCUAAGUGAUCUUCCACAAGCUUUGUGUGGCCUAGAACAAUGCAUCCUCAGGCAUUUUGAAACUUUCUACUUAAAGACUUCUCAGGCGAUACUACAAACAGCAGUUCAUCAGUUGCCUUUAUCAUGGCAAGAAUAGUCCAUAAUAAAGUAAGGUCAGGUAUACCUUCCCUGGAGAUAAAGCAGGAAUGAACUGUGAAAAUGCAUCAGGCUCUGAACAACUUGCAUGAUUUCUGCACAUGUAGAGUUCAGGACAACUUUAAGUUAUGGGCAAUUAAUCCAAUAAUAAAAAAAAACUUGAACUGGAGUCAUAAAA